rnacentral:lncRNA from 1 species
UUUCAAGGGCUGUGCUACUCCUUGUCUCUUUCAGAUUCCUAGUGCUGUGUCCAUAAUGCAGGUUAAUACAUGUACCCAAAUGGGAAAUUUUUUUCUGUUGACACAUGUGGCAUUAAUCAUGAUAUGUCAAGCUGAAUGGGUUAAGAAACAUAUGUCACAUAAAUAAAGCUCCGUUCUAAGUGUUCCUGUUGAUGGCUGGCAUAAGAGAGACCAAACUAAGAAGAGAAGACUCCUUCCUGAUGUGGGUGGCACAGACCAAUAGGUUUGUAGCCUGGAUGGAAUAAAGAGUGGGAAGUGUGCCUACUUUGAAG